AGCAAGUUCAGAGACUGAAACACUGCACAUUCAGGCAAGACAAAUAGAGCAAACAGAGAAUAUUCAGAGAGAAGAAACAUGACAUGUUCACAGAGAGGAAACAGAGCAAAUUCAGCAGUGUGGCAAGGUCUCAAAACUAUCAGUUUUCAGGCCUUCAAAAUCAUUUGUGGCUAAUGCAGAUAGUGAUAGUGAUAGUGACAGUGAUUAUGAUGUUCCUCCAACAGAGAGCAAUAGUUCUGCAGAUGAUGAUGAGGUGAUUGAGUACAUAAAAUAUGCUCAAGAAUUCAAGGAGAAAAAAGAAAGAAGAUGCUUGGGGAAGAAAAAGGAAAGACAGUCUGAGAGAAUGGGAAAUCAGUCACCUCUGAUCUGGCAAUGACAGUCUGAGAGAAUGGGAAAUCAGUCGUAUUGACAUCAUUGGAUCAUUUUUCCUCAUUCCUCAUUCUACUUCUUCCUCGGUCUGAUGCUUACCUCUGCAUGCUGCUGCAAAGAUCGACGCUAAUGGAGGGGAGCAAGUAGUAGCGGCAGCCGCAGCUGCAGAAUUGUAGCGUUUUCUUGUGCAGACGGGCAAGGCUGGCAGGUGGCUCAGAAGCUUCCUGACCGGCAAUAAGGCAAGGACAAGGGGACUGACGACGGCCUGCCAGCGCCGGCCGCCAAGGAGAAGAGACGUUGGAGUUUCCACCGUCCGGCGGCGUCGGUGAGCGGCAGGGACAUGAGCGCCGCGUCCGGCUGCCACGACAAGGGCCAGCUCGCGUCCACGUCGUCGCACUGCUUCUCGGAGGUGCAGCGCCGCACGGGGUCACGAGCGCCACGCCCACAGCGCCGCCGGAGGGCAGCGCCCGUGACGCCGAGGAAGCCGCAGCCGUCAAGAUUCAGUCGGCCUUCCGAGUCCACUAGGUCCAAGCCUACAUGGCAGCGUCCCCUUUCCAAGUCCGCAAAACAGCCGUCUCAAACCAUCAGGAGAGCCUUGCCCGGUUUGUGCAGAUACAGGGAAUUAAGUGAGCCAAAAUUGAGUCCAGAGGGUGAUGUAGUCCAAAUCUGAAAGUACAAGGG
rnacentral:lncRNA from 1 species